UACCAGCAUUAUCAACCACCUAAAAGAUGAAUGAUUUAGACCCCAAUUAAACACCAUGAAAAGCAUAUGUUACAGAGAAUCAAGCAGAACUCUACAGAGAAUGUGGGAGAAAAAUGAACCAUGACAGAGAGAAAACAGCUGAACCCAGAACCCAAGAUGUAGCCAUGCCAAUCAGUGAGGGAGAAACAGAUCAAGGAGUGGCAAAGCUUGGAUCUGAAUUCAGAUGCGCUCAUUCUCAAGCCGUAUUCUUAACCACUCUACUACUCUUCUCCAAUUGUUUUGGAAAUAUGAAACAAUUGGAGAUCUGAAGCUUCAAAACUCCUACCAACCACCAUCUCCUUCGUGAAGCCUUCCCUGCCCACCCCAGAUAGGAGGAAUGAAUGAACACCAGUAGUCUGCUGGCCUGCCUGGUCUGCCUGGUGUCUGGCAUCCAGAGACUUUUCCUGGCUGACCUUUUGGAGAAUGUCCAACAUUGAGAAAAUGGAAUCCAAAAGAAGACACAGAACCGGGCUCCAUGUUUUCAGAGACUGCACCACAUUGGUCAUUGGAGUUAAAUGUGUUCAUAUCCAUCGGCUCUGUGCUCUGUCACGCAAAAUAUUAAAAUGAAAUGCUAGGAGAACAGUUUGAAGCAAUCCUUCCUGUUCUUGA
rnacentral:lncRNA from 1 species